AAGAGCAAAGGAGACAUGGCAUAAGGCCAUGCUCUCCAAUUUUUGUCCCUUUGAAAUCUUCUCCCAAAAAUUAUUUUCUUGUGGUAUUCCUACUAAUUCAAGGGUCCUUUACAACUUGGUGUAAUUAUUUUGGAAGAAAGAGCACUUGUUUCUUCAAGUUGACAACUUGGUCAAGUGAAGAAGAUUGUAGAAAAAGAUUUGGCGAACUUGAAACUUGAUUUUGGAGACGUGUAUGAAGCGGAAAAGGUACACCCAAAGGAUGCGAAGUUAGCAUAGAAGAUGUUCCAGCGGAGUUGGUAGGCUCCAUUUGUCCUGGAGUGCUGCCAAGUCAGAGUAUAUGUACUAUGACGCUAUGUUCGAGGUUAGAGACUUUGCAGACAGAGUCGUGGGUAUAGAGUGUCAGCUUUGUAGACUUCUUCGCCAGUCGAUAUGUUAUUAUGUUUCAUGUCACGGGUCCCACAUGAUGAUAGAUUUUACUUAUAAAAAAAAAUGGAGAGUUUGCUGUGUAUUUGUUUCUUAAUUGAUUCACAAGUUUAUAUGUGUAAUAAGAGUCAGCGGGUUCGCUCGGCUCCGAAUAUGGGGUCGGGUGCCCAUCACACUCUAGUAGGAUCGGGGUGUGACAUAUGCUAAGGUUUGAGGGAAAGAAAUUGGAGGAAAGGUGCAAACAUGAACUUGAGGAUAUUUUGAGUUGUAAUUUAACUUGGCUAUGAUUGUUAGUGUGUUUUAAGAAAAAUCUUGUUACGAGGGAUAAUAGUUAAUGUCGAGGAAGUGCUGUGUACAAGUGUAUAUGGGGUGCUCAAUGGUAUAUCUUUACAUGUUGUGAAUAUGAGGUCAAGGAGAUCAUAUGAGGUUGUUAUGUUAAUUGUUGGUUGUGGAUUUUGUGGUGAUGAUUAAGAAAUAGGGGAAAGACUUUCCAUUUCACUUUAGAAUCAAGUUAUCAUUGAUAUAAGUGAUAUACAAGCGCCAUCUAAGUCAUAUAUGUAUUCCUUUGUUAUAGGAGUGGUGCUCUAGUGGUGAUAAGCUUGUUGUUGGAUUAUUUGGACGACUUGAGGGAUGUUAAGGCUAACUCUUCUUUCAUUUUGACAUGAUCUAUAACGAAACAAAGCGUAAACGAAAGUCAUUCCAUAACGACUCUACUCAUAGAUAUGUUAGAAGCUUUUGUUCGUCAAAGAAAGUUUUGUUGAUGAUGGCGGUUCCAUAAUGAUAAUCGGAG